UAGUCAUAUGCUUGUCUCAAAGAUUAACCCUUGCAUGUCUCAGUUUAAGCUUUUAUACAGUGAAACUGCGAAUGGCUCAUUAAAGCAGUUAUAGUUUAUUUGAUGGCCACUCUUACAUGGAUAACUGUGGUAAUUCUAGAGCUAAUACAUGCACCAAAACCCGACUUCGGAAGGGUUGUGUUUAUUAAAUACAGAACCAUCCCAUGCUCCGCAUGGUUUUGUGGUGACUCAUAAUAACUCGAUGAAUCGUAUGGCUUCGCUGACGAUGCAUCAUUCAAGUUUCUGACCUAUCACCUUCCGACGGUAGGGUAUUGGCCUACCGGGGCAAUGACGGGUAACGGAAAUUUAGGGUUUGAUUCCGGAGAGGGAGCCUGAGAAACGGCUACCACAUCUAAGGAAGGCAGCAGGCGCGAAAAUUACCCAUUCCUGACACAGGGAGGUGGGGACAAGAAAUAACAAUACAGGGCAAUACUGCCUGGUAAUUGGAAUGAGUAAAAUUUAAAUCUCUUUAUGAUAUCAAUGGAAGGGCAAAGUCUG
rnacentral:rRNA from 1 species